rnacentral:rRNA from 1 species
UACGAAGGGUGCGAGCGUUGUUCGGAAUUAUUGGGCGUAAAGGGUUCGUAGGUGGGAUUGUAAGUCAAGUGUGAAAUCCCCGAGCUUAACUCGGGACGUGCAUUUGAAACUGUGAUUCUUGAGUCAUGGAGAGGGUGGUGGAAUUGUUGGUGUAGGAGUGACAUCCGUAGAGAUCAACAGGAACAUCAGAGGCGAAAGCGGCCACCUGGCCAUGUACUGACACUGAGGAACGAAAGCGUGGGGAGCAAACAGG